rnacentral:rRNA from 1 species
GACGAACGUUGGCGGCGUGCUUAACACAUGCAAGUCGAACGGAAAGGCCCUGCUUUUGUGGGGUGCUCGAGUGGCGAACGGGUGAGUAACACGUGAGUAACCUGCCCUUGACUUUGGGAUAACUUCAGGAAACUGGGGCUAAUACCGGAUAGGAGCUCCUGCUGCAUGGUGGGGGUUGGAAAGUUUCGGCGGUUGGGGAUGGACUCGCGGCUUAUCAGCUUGUUGGUGGGGUAGUGGCUUACCAAGGCUUUGACGGGUAGCCGGCCUGAGAGGGUGACCGGCCACAUUGGGACUGAGAUACGGCCCAGACUCCUACGGGAGGCAGCAGGGGGGAAUAGUGCACAAUGGGCGGAAGCCUGAUGCAGCAACGCCGCGUGCGGGAUGACGGCCUUCGGGUUGUAAACCGCUUUCGCCUGUGACGAAGCGUGAGUGACGGUAAUGGGUAAAGAAGCACCGGCUAACUACGUG